rnacentral:rRNA from 1 species
UACGUGAAACCGUUCAGGGGUAAACGGGAGAAAUCCUGAAUUCGAAGGGGAUUGGAUUCAAUUCCACCCGGUUGUGUAGGCCACCUGACCCCGCCAGUUGGUGCUGGUCGCCCACGGUGAUUCAUUUCGCUUGUGGUGUCGUUCCCGGCGAUCACUCGGUGGGGUGGUGUUGCUCUGCCGCCGGAGGAGUGCACUUCCUCCCUUGUAGAAACGUCGCGACCCGUUGGGUGCCGGUCUAAGGCCUGGGAUGGCAGACCAUGUGUCCUGUGCGGUCACGCACAGGCAUGUGGACACCUGGUGUCCAAGCCGGCUGCCCGGCGGUACGACCAGAGGAGUCGAUCCGCUGAAUGGGAAACACUAUGGUUGUGUAGCGUCCGGCCCGGCGCUGACACGCGCGGGGAAUGUGGUGUAAACUAGGGGUGUCCGUGCAGAAGCACGGUCCCGGUCCCGCUGCGUUGUUGGUACUGUCGGUGACCUCGGACUGGGUCAGCACUCCCGUCGGCGACGCCCACCUUCGGAUGG